UACGGAGGGUGCAAGCGUUGCUCGGAAUUACUGGGCGUAAAGCGCGUGUAGGCGGUCUCGUGUGUCUGGCGUGAAAGCCCCGGGCUCACCCCGGGAAGUGCGCCGGAAACUGCGAGACUAGAGUUCGGGAGGGGAAGGUGGAAUUCCAGGUGUAGAGGUGAAAUGCGUAGAUAUUGGGAAGAACACCGGUGGCGAAAGCGGUUCUCUGGACCGAUACUGACGCUAAGACGCGAAAGCGUGGGGAGCAAACAGG
rnacentral:rRNA from 1 species